GACGAACGCUGGCGGCGUGCUUAACACAUGCAAGUCGAACGAAGCACUUUUAUUUGAUUUCUUCGGAAUGAAGAUUUUAGUGACUGAGUGGCGGACGGGUGAGUAACGCGUGGGUAACCUGCCUCAUACAGGGGGAUAACAGUUGGAAAUGACUGCUAAUACCGCAUAAGACCACAGUACCGCAUGGUGCAGGGGUAAAAACUCCGGUGGUAUGAGAUGGACCCGCGUCUGAUUAGGUAGUUGGUAGGGUAACGGCCUACCAAGUCAACGAUCAGUAGCCGGUCUGAGAGGAUGAACGGCCACAUUGGGACUGAGAUACGGCCCAG
rnacentral:rRNA from 1 species